rnacentral:ncRNA from 1 species
UAUCGGUUCCCGUCGCGAUCGGACAUCGCAGUGGGAUGAAAAGGGAACCUUGUGGGAAUCAAGGACUACCCCCGUAGCUGUAAGUUUCCAGACGAUGGUGCAUUCUUUUGCCACUGAGGCUCAUAACCCGGGAAGGCGCUCCAUUCGAAACGAGUCAGAAGACCUGCCAUAUCAGAC